GCCCCCAUAGCUCAGUGGAUAGAGCGUCGGCCUCCGGAGCCGAAGACCUGCGUUCGAGUCGCAGUGGGGGUACAA
rnacentral:tRNA from 1 species